GUCUCCUUCCAUAGUGUGGAAGCUUUGUUCUUUCACUCUUUGCGAUAAAUCUUGCUGCUGCUCACUCUUUGGGUCCACACUGCCUUUAUGAGCUGUAACAUUCACCGCGAAGGUCUGCAGCUUCACUCCUGAGGCCAGCGAGACCACGAGCCCACCAGAAGGAAGAAACUCCGAACACGUCCGAACAUCAGAAGGAACAAACUCUGGACACACCACCUUUAAGAACUGUAACACUCACUGCGAGGGUCCGCAGCUUCAUUCUUGAAGUCAGUGAGACCAAGAACCCACCAAUUCCAGACACACCAUGUUAACUGUAUCUGCAAAACAGAGCCGUGGGACCUCUGGAAGUCUGACCAACCUAUUUCCAACAUGAGGCCCUCACCAGACUCCACCAGAAGUGGCCACCCAAUAUUGAACUUCCCAGCCUUCAGAAUUAUAAUACUCAUUCUCCGGGCAGCAGACAAAAGACUUGGAGACAUACACAGCUGAAGGAAAUGAAAAGGCAACAAGGCUAAGAGAACAAAGAUGAGCAUUGCCACGGUCCGGAGGAUGGUGGUGGAGGAAGCCUUCUCUACGCUGGUGCCUCUAUUGGAACUUUCAGGAAAUGAACAUGAACAUUGCCCUGAGAUCAUCUUGUGAGGCAGCUGGUCUAGCCUCCUGGAGGAGAAGCAGUUUUGUGGAGAAGAUUCCAGGCAUCCCUGCCAACAAGCACCAACUCCAGAUAUAUGAGGAAGAGUAGUUUACAACUGACACUGUUUGGAAUUGCUGGCACAUGGUGAUAAUCAAAGACCCUGCAAUGGAUGGAUCAGCUGACACCACCCAGAGUAGU
rnacentral:lncRNA from 1 species